rnacentral:rRNA from 1 species
AUUGAACGCUGGCGGCAGGCUUAACACAUGCAAGUCGAGCGGAGAUGAGGUGCUUGCACCUUAUCUUAGCGGCGGACGGGUGAGUAAUGCUUAGGAAUCUGCCUAUUAGUGGGGGACAACAUUCCGAAAGGAAUGCUAAUACCGCAUACGUCCUACGGGAGAAAGCAGGGGAGCUUCGGACCUUGCGCUAAUAGAUGAGCCUAAGUCGGGUUAGCUAGUUGGUGGGGUAAAGGCCUACCAAGGCGACGAUCUGUAGCGGGUCUGAGAGGAUGAUCCGCCACACUGGGGCUGAGACACGGCCCAGACUCCUACGGGAGGCAGCAGUGGGGAAUAUUGGACAAUGGGGGGAACCCUGAUCCAGCCAUGCCGCGUGUGUGAAGAAGGCCUUAUGGUUGUAAAGCACUUUAAGCGAGGAGGAGGCUACUGAGACUAAUACUCUUGGAUAGUGGACGUUACUCGCAGAAUAAGCACCGGCUAACUCUGUGCCAGCCGCCGCCGUAAGAC